ensembl:lncRNA
GGGUUAAAUAACAGCUAGUAUCAGAGGUGGUCAUCGGAUGAUGGUGGUCUAAAUAAAUAAUGAUUAAACCUUCUUAAAACUGCUUCUUAGAUUUAUCUGGAGCCCUGCCUGCGCGUGUUUGUUUGUUUGUUUGGAAAUGCGGCUCUCUUUUGCACCCAGCUGCCACAAAUUCCAAUUUUCUCUUUGCACAACUCACAGGUCGUAAAAGCAUUUUACGACCUGACCCUGUUCGCCAUUGGCCGCUCACUGUCAUGUGUGCGCGUGCAGUGUGCCGACAGCUUUGCCUCGCGCGCUCUCGACACCACAGAAGUGUUUCUCGGCAUCCGCGCGCCUCCAUGGACGAAUGCCGUGGAAGAAAAUGGAGUCCAGUAGACUGAUGAUGUCAGUGCAGUGCAAAAACCCAAGUUUCAACUGGAUGUUUUUGAAGACAAAAACAGACCGCAGGUUUGUCCAGGGGGCUUCAUUUCACAGUUUUCCUCGGCAGACAUCGAGGUUUAAGUUGCUUAAACACUAUCAAAUUUCAGGCUUGAUCAUGCAGGCUGCUGUUUAUUUCUGUUUUAAUAGUCCUUCUGUCAUGGCUCGUAUUUGGUGUUCGGCACAGUUCAGCUCAUGCUUGAGCAUUUAAAUAACAAUGUGUUUCUUUAUAAAAUGUCC